rnacentral:rRNA from 1 species
CCUACGGGAGGCUGCAGUGGGGAAUAUUGCACAAUGGGGGAAACCCUGAUGCAGCGACGCCGCGUGAGUGAUGAAGUAUUUCGGUAUGUAAAGCUCUAUCUGCAGGGAAGUAGAUGACGGUACCUGACUAAGAAGCCCCGUCUAACUACGUGCCAGCAGCCCCGGGAAUACGUAGGGGGCCACGGUUAUCCGGAUUUUCUGGGUGUAAAGGGAGCGUAGACGGGGAUGCAAGCCAGUUGUGAAAGUCCGGGGCUCAACCCCGGGACUGCAUUUGGAACUGUGAGUCUGGAGUAUCGGAGAGGCAGGCGGAAUUCCUAGUGUAGCGGUGAAAUGCGUAGAUAUUAGGAGGAACACCAGUUGCGAAGGCGGCCUGCUGAACUAUGACUGACGUUGAGGCUCGAAAGCGUGGGGAGCAAACAGGAUUAGAUACCCUUGUAGUC